rnacentral:rRNA from 1 species
AGAAGUGCGAAUGCUGACAUAAGUAACGAUAAAGCGGGUGAAAAGCCCGCUCGCCGGAAGACCAAGGGUUCCUGUCCAACGUUAAUCGGGGCAGGGUGAGUCGACCCCUAAGGCGAGGCCGAAAGGCGUAGUCGAUGGGAAACGGGUUAAUAUUCCCGUACUUGGUGUUACUGCGAAGGGGGGACGGAGAAGGCUAUGUUGGCCGGGCGACGGUUGUCCCGGUUUAAGCGUGUAGGUGUGUGUUCCAGGUAAAUCCGGUUCACUUUAACACUGAGGCGUGACGACGAGGCACUACGGUGCUGAAGCAACAAAUGCCCUGCUUCCAGGAAAAGCCUCUAAGCAUCAGGUAACAUCAAAUCGUACCCCAAACCGACACAGGUGGUCAGGUAGAGAAUACCAAGGCGCUUGAGAGAACUCGGGUGAAGGAACUAGGCAAAAUGGUGCCGUAACUUCGGGAGAAGGCACGCUGACACGUAGGUGAAGUGAUUUACUCAUGGAGCUGAAGUCAGUCGAAGAUACCAGCUGGCUGCAACUGUUUAUUAAAAACACAGCACUGUGCAAACACGAAAGUGGACGUAUACGGUGUGACGCCUGCCCGGUGCCGGAAGGUUAAUUGAUGGGGUCAGCGCAAGCGAAGCUCCUGAUCGAAGCCCCGGUAAACGGCGGCCGUAACUAUAACGGUCCUAAGGUAGCGAAAUUCCUUGUCGGGUAAGUUCCGACCUGCACGAAUGGCGUAAUGAUGGCCAGGCUGUCUCCACCCGAGACUCAGUGAAAUUGAACUCGCUGUGAAGAUGCAGUGUACCCGCGGCAAGACGGAAAGACCCCGUGAACCUUUACUAUAGCUUGACACUGAACAUUGAGCCUUGAUGUGUAGGAUAGGUGGGAGGCUUUGAAGUGUGGACGCCAGUCUGCAUGGAGCCGACCUUGAAAUACCACCCUUUAAUGUUUGAUGUUCUAACGUGGACCCGUAAUCCGGGUUGCGGACAGUGUCUGGUGGGUAGUUUGACUGGGGCGGUCUCCUCCUAAAGAGUAACGGAGGAGCACGAAGGUUGGCUAAUCCUGGUCGGACAUCAGGAGGUUAGUGCAAUGGCAUAAGCCAGCUUGACUGCGAGCGUGACGGCGCGAGCAGGUGCGAAAGCAGGUCAUAGUGAUCCGGUGGUUCUGAAUGGAAGGGCCAUCGCUCAACGGAUAAAAGGUACUCCGGGGAUAACAGGCUGAUACCGCCCAAGAGUUCAUAUCGACGGCGGUGUUUGGCACCUCGAUGUCGGCUCAUCACAUCCUGGGGCUGAAGUAGGUCCCAAGGGUAUGGCUGUUCGCCAUUUAAAGUGGUACGCGAGCUGGGUUUAGAACGUCGUGAGACAGUUCGGUCCCUAUCUGCCGUGGGCGCUGGAGAACUGAGGGGGGCUGCUCCUAGUACGAGAGGACCGGAGUGGACGCAUCACUGGUGUUCGGGUUGUCAUGCCAAUGGCACUGCCCGGUAGCUAAAUGCGGAAGAGAUAAGUGCUGAAAGCAUCUAAGCACGAAACUUGCCCCGA